GUUUGGUGUCGAGGAUUGAGGUUGGGCUCGCGACGGCGUCGUUUUCAGUGAAGCUUUUGAAGCUGGUGAAAGCUGUGAAGAGGCGUGGAAACGUUUUGGGCGUGGGUUUGCUCUGUUUCUGGUUCGUAUCCGCCAUUAAUGCUUGCUUGCUUCUCGAUCUCUUCUUUAGCAUAAUUCACUGCUCAAGAAGAAAAAAAUCAAAACUUUGAACUGAGUUAAAAGUUUCAGAGAAAAUAAAGGUGAUGCAGUUCUGUUGCCUCCAUGAUGCUGAGAAAAAAAUGAAGUGUACAGUGAAGAGAAAAGUAGAGUACAAGAGAAAACAAAAUGAAAGUAACUGAAAAGAUGAGAGCUUUGUUAUUUGAAGGAAAACAAAAAAAAAGGAUUUUUUCACUCCCGACUUUCUCGCAUGUAAACGUGAAACGUUCAGCUAGAGUUUGGAGGAAGAAGAAGCAAACAAAAACAGGAAAAUAUAAUAAAAAUAAAUAAAAAGAGAGAAAAUGAUCCGUUUGCUUUUGCUUUUUUUAAUGUUUGUGACUUUAGUGGGUUAUAGUUUCGAUGGCCUGAGGGAAAAGAAGAGAACAAAACAGCCCCACUGAUUCUCUCCCGUAUC